UGUCUCAAAGAUUAAGCCAUGCAUGUCUAAGUCCAAGCUGUGUUCACACGGCGAGACCGCGGACGGCUCAUUAAAUCAGUCGUGGUCCAAAUGGGCCAGUGCAAAUCCUACUUGGAUAACUGUGGUAAUUCCAGAGCUAAUACAUGCAACUGAUAUCCCGAAGGCGGUGUUGGGGCUUGCUUGCCUUGCGCUGCGCUGCUCUGACGGAUGCUUUUAUUAGACCAAGCCGCUGAGGACUUGAGGGUUCGCGCUCUCUUGUUUGACUCGUGUGAUGGUGACUCUGGAUAACCAAAUUCUGACAAGCGCACGUACUUCUCUUCUGAGCGAGACGGCGCUGCCACUUUCGAGUGUCUGCCUUAUCAGCUAUCAACCGUUCGUUAUGCGCGACCGAUGGCUUUGACGGGUAACGGGGAAUCAGGGUUCGAUUCCGGAGAGGCAGCCUGAGAGACGGCUACCACGUCCAAGGACGGCAGCAGGCACGCAAAUUACCCAAUCCCAGCAAAUGGGGGAGGUAGUGACGAAAUCUAACGAUGCGGGCGCCCUUUCUGGGGCCCCGCAAUCGGAAUGGGCACUUUCUAAACAACCUGUUGAGAAC
rnacentral:rRNA from 1 species